GUUCAUAGAUAUUUAAUAAUGGCCAGUGAGAAGUACGCCACAUGAUACUCCCAUCUUAGAAACAUGCAUUUAGUUUCAAUUCAAAGCCAUUGAUCAGAUUCCUCUGGCAGCUCAUCACAUGUGGGCCGUCGCAAUUCUCAGCUCUGCCUGCUGCAUGUGCCCUGUUCUCUCACUUACUCAUUCUGAUCCACAAAGUCAUGGAACUGGAGCUUUUUCAGGCUUUGUUGUGCUUUAGUAUUUGUGGAAGGAACGGAAUUAGUUAUCUUCCAGGGGGAGAAAAUGAAGCAGCUAAAAUUUUGUCAGUAACACAUAUAAUGUCACCAUUUACAUUAAAAUUUAACAGGUCCAUAGUAAUUAACAUUAAACUAGACCCAAAAGUAGGCAAAGAAAGUUGACAUGAAGUAAAAGAACUGAUAAGAAAAUUCAACACAUUAGACAAUCCUACAGAACAUAGACAAGCUUGAGCUACCACAUUUCUCUUCUCACCUCACCUUUCUAAUCUACCCUUCUUAAGGGGAAACAAAGGUGGCAAAGAACUGCUCUUCACCGGCGUGCAAAUAGGCACAUUUAUCAUUGGCCUUAUCCUAAUAGUAGCUGAUCUUGUUCUCUCCAAUCCUUUCUUCAUCCUUUUCCCUUGCUUCUCCCUGUUUCCAGAGGCUUCUUUCCCUUCUUCUGUGGUAACGAUAUCGGCUAGGGAGCUAGAAGAAGAUGAUGUUGAGGAAGAAGAUGAUGAUGGUGAGAGAGAAGAAGCCCGUUGCUUCUUUAACCUUAGCAGUUCUUUCCAGAGAACAGUGCAUUUUGGAGGCCUUGGAGACGGGUCAUCAUCAACAAACCAACUUACCCUAGGCUCCUCCUUGUUCACCUCCUCUUCUUCUUCUUCUUCCUCCACACUUACUUUACUUUUGAGGCUGAUUUUAUGGAGUUUCUCAGAUUGCUGCAUUUGCCAAAAGGGAAGUAACUUCCCUUCAAAAAAAAGCUCGUCCGCAGUUGAAAUGGCGUGGCUACUCACGUUGCUUGAAAGGAACUCAAAUUCUGCAUUUCUUGCCUUCUCUCUUUCCAUUUCUUGGUCUUUUUCAGUCUGCAGGGUGUUUGGACUAAUGGAAAUGAAGUUGUUUUCAUCAAGAAAUUCUGCAGAGAAAGAAAUUCUAGGACUCGAAGUUUGAUCAAUGGAUCUAGAGGUUGCUUGAACCGUUUCUAGGGAGACCAUUUUGAACGUCCAAGAAGAAGAAGAAGAAAGUUUGUGGAGUUGGGCGUGGU
rnacentral:misc_RNA from 1 species